CCUACGGGAGGCAGCAGUGAGGAAUAUUGGUCAAUGGCCGGAAGGCUGAACCAGCCAUGCCGCGUGAAGGUCAGUGCCCUAUGGGCGUUAAACUUCUUUUGUGCGGGAGCAAUAAUGGUCACGUGUGGCCAGACGAGAGUACCGUACGAAUAAGCAUCGGCUAACUCCGUGCCAGCAGCCGCGGUAAUACGGGGGGUGCAAGCGUUAUCCGGAUUUAUUGGGGUUAAAGGGUGCGUAGGCUGUGAGGUAAGUCAGCGGUGAAAUGCCCCCGCUCAACGGGGUGAAGUGCCAUUGAUACUGCCUUGCUGGAAUGCGGAUGCCGUGGGAGGAAUGUGUGGUGUAGCGGUGAAAUGCAUAGAUAUCACACAGAACACCGAUUGCGAAGGCAUCUCACGAAUCCGCGAUUGACGCUGAUGCACGAAAGCGUGGGUAUCAAACAGGAUUAGAUACCCGGGUGGUC
rnacentral:rRNA from 1 species